UCCGUACAGGAUUCCGGCCGCGGCGCUCUAUUGUCAGUACGACGCACGUGGCGUGCGCUCGAACAGACGUUUCUCCGCGGGCCGACGCCGCUUUCGCCAGUAGCGAAUACGCGCGCACGCUGCCGCGAAAAUAAAAAUAAUCGAGUUGAAAACCGAUGGAAAAUAAAUAACGCGGCCGAUCCCGUCGCAAAAACAGUGCUUUCGUUACGUUUUGUUCGUUCUUUUUGUUCUUUAUUUAUUUGUUUAAUUUUUUUUUUCACGUUUUCUCCGCGACCGAACAUAUUUCCGUCGUCCGUGUCGCGUACAACGUCCGUUUCGGCGACAACAGUGUUUAAAAAAAUAAAAAACAAUAAUAAUAAUAAUGUUUGCGCGCGAAAACGAUUUUUAAACCCAUAAUAAUAGUUAUAAUAAUACCGUAUCUGUUGUGCACGCAUAAUCGCACACUCGUACGUUUAGCGACCGUUUCGUAGACGCGUGUUCUUUGCCGUCAGGUUAUUUUUUUUUUUCGUAUUUGUGUUCCGAGAUCUCGCAACAGCUCGCGGCUCUAAGAUAUUUGGAAUCGCCCGGACGACAAGCGUGUGUAAUCCACGUCAAAUGAGGGUACUGCCGGACCGGCACGAACCGGUGACGGACGGCCGGCACCAUUGGUCGUCGUAACGAGCCGCUGUCCGGAUGCGGCCGGACCGCCGCCCGAAUGCGGGUGAACCGAUGAACAGCCAGCGGGGCGGUAGGAGGCGGUGCAGCACGCGGCUGGCGGCCGUCCACCAUCACCGGCUGCGGUCGAGCAUCACUUAAGGAGCGCACCAACGGUCAGCGGCGGCCGGCCGCUCACGUGCACAUGAUUUCCGCGCUGGACGCGGUCGCGUACGGCAACGACAGCUCGCCGCUACGGGCCGCCAACGGCACGGCCGGCGAUGGCGGCGGCGGCGGCGGUGUAGCAACGCCGUCCAACGACACGACAGGUGUCAUCCAAUUCCUGGACGACGACCUGUCGUUCCCCGGCUACAUACGCACCACGUGCAUGGUGGUGUGCGUCAUCAUACUGGGCGUGGGCGUGGUCGGCAACAUGAUGGUGCCGAUCGUCAUACUCAAGUCGAAGGACAUGCGCAACUCAACCAACAUAUUCCUGAUGAACCUGAGCAUCGCCGACCUGAUGGUGCUGCUCAUCUGCACGCCCACCGUGUUCGUCGAAGUCAACUCCAGACCGGAGACGUGGGUGCUCGGCGAGGAGCUAUGCAAAGCAGUACCGUUCGUCGAGCUCACGGUAGCCCAUGCCUCCGUACUCACCAUACUGGCCAUCAGCUUCGAACGAUAUUACGCCAUUUGCGAACCGCUGCGGGCCGGUUACGUGUGCACCAAGACGAGAGCGAUGAUCAUAUGCCUGCUGGCCUGGGGACUAGCUGCGUUGUUCACUAGCCCGAUGCUAAGGCUGCCCGACUACCACUGGGAGGAGUACGUGGACGGCACCCAGGUACCCGUGUGCCGCACCGAGGCGUCCACCGUGUGGCCCGUGCUGUUCUUCGUCGGCACCAUAUCGGUGUUCUUCGUGGUGCCGCUGGUCGUGUUGUCCGUGCUGUACGUGAUCAUCGCGCGGCACCUGAUGGCCAACCCCGGGCUGGUGGCGCCCAACACCAACCGAGCGGCGCUCCGGUACCGCCGCCAGGUGGUGCUCAUGCUGGGUACCGUGGUCGUAUCGUUCUUCCUGUGCCUGUUGCCGUUCCGCGCGCUCAUCCUGUGGAUCAUCCUGGCGCCGCCCGACUACAACAUCAUGGAGAUGGUGGGCGUGGAGAACUUCUACCUGCUGCUGUUCUUCAGCCGCAUAAUGCUGUACAUCAACUCUGCGCUCAACCCCAUCCUGUACAACCUCAUGUCGUCCAAGUUCCGCGACGGGUUCCGCAGGCUGUGCGGGCUGCGCCGCGGCCCGUGGACGGACCGGCACCUGGGCCGCAAGGGCACGGUGACCACGACGUCGGCGCACGCGGGCGGCGGCGGCACCACCACCACCGGCACGACCACCACCACGACCACCGCGUCGUCCAGCCUGAAAGGUAUCGGUGACGUGACCAGCGGCAGUGACGAGAAGUUGAUGGCCGCGGCCACGGCCAACAUGUACACGCGGAUGAAGCGCAACGGCGUGACCGUCAUCUCGUCGGUCGAGGAACGCGGCCCGGCGGCCGGCGGCAUCAUCAGGCGGUUGAACAUGUCCGCGGCCGCGGAAGUGCUGAAGCUAAGACAGAGGCCGCCGCACGAGAGUUACGUUUGAAGCGGGUGGUGUUAUAAUUUAUAAUGAUAAUUAUUAUUAUUGUUAUUAUUGUUGUUGUUGUUGUUGUUAUUAUUUGUACGUCGACGAGGACACAGUGAUCGUGUGGUGCGGGUGUCGUACGAAAACGUGUUGGUCGCGGAUCCGAGUAAAUAUAUGAACGUGUACUUCGCGGUACAUUUAUCGCGAUGGAUGAAUAUUCAAAAACCGAACGGCACUGUGCUGCAUUCGUAGUGGCCUGGUCGAAGAGGAAGUCGAGUACGGCUAUAUGAGGUGUGAGAUCGAUGACGAUCUUUCUUCGCAAGAUUUCCGGGAAGGGACCAACGGCGCUUUUUUUUUUUUUAUUCGACAUUAAAAUUUAACCAUCGCGCGAAUCGAAUACGUAGUCUGGUGAAAAUGAAUUAUGAAUUACGUGGUACAAAUGAAAUAAAAGUUGUAGUUCCGUUACAAUGGCCGUUUCCCGUUCGACCGCUUGAAAACACGUUGAGGGAGGCUAUAGAAAAGCGUAAACCUUGCGCCCUCGAAUGAAAUCCCAAGGGACGAUUGCCGUUUGCACGCAAUCGUUCCAGCGCGAAUUCAAAUAUCCGGUUUCGUUUUCGUCUGAAAUCUUUUAAGGAACGGUCGCCUCGACGCCUUCCGACGGUACACGACUAGAUCACGGCAAUGUAUCGAAUUCCACGAUAACUCGAGUUCAACAUUUGACCCUUUCGCAGUCAUCUCUGGACGACCGGUAUCUCGCAGAACACCGGUGCCUCACGACCUCACCGACAACAUUGGGCCUACACUCCGAGUUAUUACCACGACGAUCUCAAAACGCGUUCUACAAAACCGACUCCUUCUUUCGAUACCGCCUGUUAGUACGAUACAAAGUUUGCUCGUAUUAUCGUUGGUACACCGAAUGUGCGGUUUUACAAGAUUAAUCGAACCGGCGCGUUAAUCUCGAACCGAUCACCUGUAAACGCCACACGAUCGGGAUUACUUAUAGAUCUCCCCCAUCCCCUCACGUGUGUUCUAGUAUCUGCCACGACGACGUUUUUCGGACGUUCUCGACUUCGGCGUUUUAAGCGUGGUACGCGUCCUCCGGUCGAUGUGAGACGACGGCUUUUCACGAACCGUUCAUUUAAUUUUCCCCUCCCACGAACAACGUGAAAUCCGUCAGGGUUGCCGCGAAACGCGAGAUUCGACAACGAACGUGUGCAAUCGACAUUGUUUUCAAACGUAAUCUUAUGUUCACCUCCACAGUUUGCACGACGGAUUUUCUUUUUUCUCGGCGUUAGACAGUGACAAACAAACUCGCGUGGUACCACGUAUGCCGAACAGGUAUCGUACGAGAUUCGCACUGUCCCGGACCACUCGAAGGGUUUCCCCGGGAUAUGCUAUUACGUAAUAUAUUUACUUGGGGGCAUCGCGGCACACAGGAUCGGUACGGAUCCGCGUACGGAGAAACGAAUAGCGCAAUGUAGUGUUGUAGCAGCCCCAAAAACUCGAAUAGUAUCCCUGUACCCCCGGACACUUGGGCCGUCCGAUUAGUCGUUUUGUCAUCUUUCGUACCCCACGGUAUUUGUUUAGUAUUAGGUAUUUGAAUGCAGUGCCACGAAUUCGUACUGAGUCCGCUGCAUAAUUAUAAACGCAAUAUACAAUAGUCGUUAACCACUGUCUGUUUGCAACGGCAAACGAGUAUACCGCGUUUGGUCAGACGCCCUUAAUACAAGUCCCUCACGCGUAAAUGCGUUUUCCUAAAAGCUUUUAGUUCUGACGUCCGAUCGAAUGUUGUAUAAUAUUUUUUUAUUUUUUUUUAUUUCACGCACAUAUCACGCCGUUACAUAUCUCUGGUUAAACGGGAACGCGCAACCGUUUUUCCUUUUUUCGUGAGCGCAUCAUUAUUCUUUUUUUCUUUUAUACCAUAUACAAAUCACCUCGUAUCUCAAAUCACGCUUCCUAUGACAACCAGAAUACAAAUAUAUUGACGUGAACGACAUUACGCGAUCAGAAAAUUAUGUAACCGCAGUGGCGCGCCUCCGGUUUUAAUUAUACAUAGGAUAGUUUUAGAGGAUUAUAUUUUUAAAUAAUUCGUAGACAAACAAAAGCAAUUUUAGAACUAAAAUCAUAUCUUCGAGUAAUAAUGAAUUUAUCGAAAUCGCCCGGUCUUGUUAUUUUAAAAUCAUAAUAGUUACUAAUAAUAAGUUAACAACAACAAUAGCUAAAUUCUCCUACAAUCUCGUUUAGAAUAACAGAUUAAAAUCGACUUUAAUUUGAUUCGUUUCUGCAGAUAUUUUUUUAAUUAAAUGCACAAUGUGCUUAUGAUAAUUUUCAUUUCUGACAGAUCAUAGUAGUAUAUUAUUUCAAAGAAAUCGGAUACUGUUUAACUGUACAUUAGAUCAACGACAUUAGUUGUAAACAACGCAAUUUUACUGCAUCAAAGCACAUUUAGAAAAAACCAUCCAUACAAAUAAAAUGUACGCUCCUGUGAUAUUUGAUUCUGUUCCGGCAUCUCGGUCGUUUGCCUUUAGACGCUAUAUAACCUAAUAGGGUACACGACCCAACAUGGAAAUGCGAUUUGCCUCUGGUAACACUCCUCCUCCGUCACUGUCACCUGCGAUUAUAAAUAUAACGAGACGAUCGAAUCGUCGUCAACACGAAAAACAUAAAUAUUCCGUCACGUUUCAAAAUACGGGUGUAUUAAAAAUAUUAUAAUUGGAAUAUGCAUUAAAAUACUGAAAACCUUGAUCGUUUUCACUGGAAAAAGUAAAUUACUAUUAAUUAUCAUUUAAUUUUAUCAACGCUCCAGGCUAUCGAUACAAUAAUCACUUUAUAAUAAAUAUUGUUCUGUAGACAAGAAAUGUAUUUUGAUAAAUAAUACAUAUCAUCUUUUUGUAAUUUUUUUCAAUUUUAUUUUUGUACCAGAAACUGCUUGGUCUUUAAUACUUAUGCGAAAAUCAAAUCCGAAUGUUUUAAUAUUCCAAACAUUGUUUAACACCCGUAUUGUUAUCGUUUAAAAAAAAAAAAACGCAUUCCAAAUCCAAUUAGAACAUGAAUUUUCACCACAUUAUUAGCGUUUACAGCGUCGCGAUUUGUAUGGAGGAUACUAAAUUUUACGAUUGUUUCGUACAUUUUUACGGCUAUAAAUGUUAAAGGGAAAAACAAACUGAUUUCCGUGUUCGAUCUGCGGGUCAAAUUCAUCUAGUCGGAUUAGUCUUAGUGUUAGUUUUAUAAAAGGUUCGCGUAAACCAACAGGCACAUACUCGUACGUUUAAAUAGUAGGCGUACCGUAGAAAAAUUUAUGUAGGUGUAUUAUAUUCGUACUCGUUGCUCGGAUUGCGAAGAAGCAAUUGGCAAAACUAUAGAGUACAUCGACUGUUCUAGUAUUACAUAUUCAACGUACCUCUACUGAUAUUUUUAAGUGCAAAGUGUGGAGUGAGGUACGUCAUAAGGUAAUGUAUGAUUAGGAAUAAACGCGUACGUAAUAUGUUAAAAAAAUUAUACAAAUAAUAAUAAUAAUAAUAACGGUAAUGAUAAGAGGUGAAAAGUUACCGGAACAUUACUAUUAAAUUUUAUUUUAUUUUUUUCUAAUCUCUCAGCAAACAACAGUCAUGACUCUAUCGGGUACUAUAUUAUGAUUUUUCUCGAAUUGGACACUGUGUCCCGUGUCUUCGUAAGUUUGAAAUGCAUUUCAAACCUCUCGUGUGCGUAAUACGGAGUCGAUUUAUUAUUUAAAAUACAUAAAUUUACUAUUUAUACAUACAGCGAUUCUGAUUGGCGAAUUUAUCCUGAUCAGCAAAUUCGACACAGCAUUCGCGCCCACCAUAAUAAUUAUGUAUAAUCCACGUCCAGUGCCCACCCAUCGCGUUUCGCGAGCAACUAUUCUUUAUCAUUCCGGAUAAAAUUAAUAUAUGUGUGUGUGUGUGUCUGUGUGUGUAUGUGUGUGUGUGUGUGUGAGUACGCAACUCUAAUAUUACUAUAGUAUCUCACCCGUGUACAUGUUACUUAUAUCCUUUCCAUGACUCUUUCGAGCGUGCACUAUAGUCUAAUAUAUUAUAAUAUAACUUUUAUGUCAAAAUAUGUUACCGUAAGACACAUAUGAUCGCUGGUCAAUAUUAGGUCCAGGUGUUACGUCACAAGUAAAUACUUAGGCCUGUCGAUCGCUAUCAGUCGAAGUGGAAAAUAUUUCGUUUCUCAUCAGAUUUUACGACUGUAACAUUCAGUACACCAUUUUAUUAGCAUGAUGUGUAUACGUUUGUAUAAACCAUGUGGAUAAAUUGCAAUUGCAAAAUGAACGAUCAACGUAAAUAUAUUUUCUUAAACACGAUGAAAUAGAAAAUGUUCUCUGCAUGAAAAUCCUUUGCAGAUAUUGGUAAAUAACGGCAGUACAAUAGUGUAGGCACUUUUGUCAAAAGUUUAACUUUCCCUUUUCCACCAAAUUAUCGAGACCUGUUUUCACCGAAUCAAUUUCAAUAUCACUUACAAGAAUGUGAAUUAUUUUUUUAUAAAUAUGAAAAAUACACUGCCCAUAGAUUGAAAUACUCGUAGAGUCGUAUGAUAUCAAGUCAACAGAUUGUCUUUGAUUUAUCUCAUUUAAUCGCAAAGUACAUACACGAGUAAGCGCACGAGGAAUCUGAUUUGUAUUUCAUUACUUUGUUUAGGUUUAGGAACUAUAAGUAUAUUGAUGUAUUAUAUUACGCUAUAAAGAUACACGAAUGCUUCACCUGUUCUUAAAUUAUUACUAUCGUAUUUUGUUUUAAUGUUAAAACAAGUCAACAAAUUAAAUUCAUUGCAGAAUUCAAUAUGGAUUGAAUUGAGUAUGAACAAAUAUAAUACCGUGCGAAAUACGUUAAAAUAAUGAGUUUUAUAAUUUAAAUUGAUUUGAUGGAAACGGGUAUCGGUGGAAAACGGUAAGGUAUACUUUAGGUGAAAACGUACCCUCCGAUCGUAGUGAUACUGUUCAAUUAUAUUUUAUCAAUUUGUUUUCGCGAUCGAUUCUUCCUCCUUUUACUAAAAAAAAAAAAAUAAAACAAUAUAUAUAUAUAUAAAUUUUGUUCUUAGUAAAAGUUCGAAACCUAUUCAUAUUUUUCGGCUUCGAUUCGUGAUCAGUGCUAUACGGUAACAUGCAUAGAUAGGUACGUUUUUGUAUGUUGUAAUAUAAUUUAUAAGUAACUGUAUACAAUGUUUAAUAUAUACGACACGUCAUCCUAUAUAAAUACAAUAAAUAUUUGUAGUACCGAAACCAAACUAUAAAUAUUAUAAUUAUUAUUAUUAUUAUUAGCUAUUACUACGUUCUCUAUAGUUCCUUAUUGUGUGCAGUACGUGCGCGCAUGCGCGUUUAUAGACAUAAUUUAUAAUGUGUACAAAUUAAUAUACAUUAUUCCAUGUAAACGUAUGUUUUGUACAAUACUUGUAUAGAACGUCGUGGUCGAGCACGACGAAAGCAAAACGUGUGCGGACGAUCAGUGGUCGAUAUUUAGAGCGUACUGUAGUGAUAACGAGACGCGGUGUCCUAUUACGUCGGUCAGGCCGUUAUCAUCUUAUCCGGAUUCAAGAUUUUUUCCUCGAUCCCUCGCCGCGUCAAUUGUUGUCAGUUUUCCUGGAACGCAAAUAAGUUUUCGUUUUUAUCGGAAAAAACGAAUCCGUUCGUUGUUUUCGGAUAUACUUCGCGUGUUUACAACACCGGCGGUGGAGUGUAAAACGUUUCGCACAUACUGUUCAACGUACGAACCCCAAAAGAAUAUUGUACAUCACGCUUUUUCCUUCUACGCGUUCUGUAUUUUUGUUUUACGCUUCGUCGACCACUGACGUUUAGACUACAUAUAUAUAUAUAUAUAAAACAUACAAACGUUCAAUAACGAUCAAUAAAUACACACUACAACAUGUUUUAUAAUUUACCUAUAUAUAAACUUAUAUUUUUUUUAUACGAUUUAUUUUUAA
rnacentral:misc_RNA from 1 species